CAGGUUCGCGCGGAGGGAAGGAGGGAGAAGAAGCGAAGCCGCGCCGCCUCGGGCUCGCUUGGUGCAGAUCGGGACCCGCCGCCCGGCCGACGGGACGGAUCCCGCCUUGCACCAAGUGAAUCGGAGCCGGCGGAGCGAUACAGCGGCCGGCCGACCGCCGCCUGCUUGCCUGCGCGCGCUGCUCUCGACUGCGGAUGCCGCCCUCGCGGUUAUAUUCCGCUAAAGCCACGACUGCCGCCGAGGAGAACAUGUUCUGAAAAGCUGUCGAGGAAUAUAAAUUGCGUACCUGGGGUCCUGGUCCUGGAUUGAUGGCUUGAUGAAUGGAUGAGCAGAAGCAGAGCGAGGUGGGAGAUUCCAGCUCUGGGUUUUGCUGACAGAGGUCCAGCUAGCUUGAUGAGAACCUCACAGGCUGCUAUGGCUUCACACUGCUGAAUUUUACUCGGAUUCGAGUCUGUGCUCCUCCUUUUGUUUUUCACAGUAUGCAUGAGCUGUUGUUAUCAAACAAGCAUGGGAUCUGGCGUGGCGGGCGGAUGGAUGCCGGUCAGCUGAUCGAGCUGGUGUCAGUCCUUUGGCCAGCCUGCAUCCAGUGCGUCAAAAGCCUGGCCGCUGGCCGGCCGGCGGCUGCUGCUGCUCGUGCCUCGUGCUCAUCAGGCAGGCAGCCAUGGUCCCCUGCCUCUCAGGCAAAGGCUGGUCGCGGAUAGGCAAAUAUCCCCCAGAUUCUUGUACCUGAUGCACGUGGAGCUGGGUGGCAUGGCAUCGCAGAGCCGACUCCACCUCCAUGGGGUUGCUGCUUGCUUGCUUGCUUCUUCCCACAGCGUUCUUGAAUACUGGGAAGCACGAUAGGACGCUGGUGCUCUGGACUCGCAGAGGCGCAUUUGCUAUCCACGGCCACAGAGCCAGCCCCAGGGGGGGCACACAGACUGGGCAUGAAGAAGAGGAUAACAACAGAUAACUGACCAGCAUUCAUCUCACAUUUGUUACCCCGUGACUCUUUAUCCUAAAAUGUAAGACCUUUAUUAAAGUCCAUUGUAAAAAGGACAGCAGUUUAAAUAAAUGCCCCAUGCUUGACAGGUCGAUGCACCGA